GUUUUUUUUUUAGGGAAGGGCAUUUUUUACCGUGUGGUGGAUUGGCCAACCCUAUCCACCAAUCCCCCGUCCGCCUCCCUCCUCCCCUGCUCGCUCGCCCGGUCGCCGCCACUCACGGCGAUGAGCGGCAAGGCCGCGUCCACGAGAGAGCCGAUGGGCCAUUGCAGUCGCCGCCGGGUGCGGCUGCCUCCUCUCCCCUUCCCGUCCCCCGGUUUCUUCCGCCGCCGCCGCCGCUCUCCACUGGACGGCGAGCUUCACCCCUCCCCUCCCCUCCCCCACACGAAUAUCCACCUCCUGCCCCCAUCCUUCGCGUCCGAGAAGCCGUGGCCGUCCCUUCGUCGAGGGAACGGCCUGCCGGAUCCGGUGUCCCCGUUCCAUGUCGGCCACCGUCCUCUUACCACCCGCCUCCCGCUUCCCGACCCAUCCCCGUCUCUCGGCGCGGCGCAGGCGGGACCUGGCUGUUCAAGUGUCCAUUGACGGCGGCGAGCCCGAGCCGGCGAGGUAGAUCUUACCGGUGGACUGCGGGUCGUCGACGCGUUGCCUCGGGCACAGACGCAGCCGCAGCAGAGGAUGGCCACCGAGGGGAGAAAUAUUGCAAUUUAUGGUGAGACUCCUGAUGGUUUGGAGGAUGACGGCAGCCUGGAGCAGGAGCGUUUACUCGCUGUGCCUAUGGUAGUGGCGGCGGUGAUGGCGCGUAUGGUAGUGGCGGCGGUCAGGACGUGCCCUCGGCGAUCUCGACAUCCAAGUCAAGGAUUGGCGGCGCAAGAACGAUGGCACUGCACGGGAUCGAGCCAGAGGAAUGUGAUCCAUCCUGUCAAGAUCGAUUUCUGCGUGCGGUAAGGAUUUGCGUGCUCUUCCACUGGAUUGAUUUCAUGUUCUUCUUGUUUUGUUUUCGUUUGUAGGAUUGCUGAUGCUAAUUUGUUGCUCCGUCUUCUGCUGUGCGUUUACUCACUGUGUUUGUUUCUUUACAAGGAAAACCUCAGUAUGUGGAUAUCACAUUCAGUUGCAUUGACACGGGAAACAAAUUGAAAAGGCAAUUAGAUAUCUUUUCUCAUUGAACGGGUCUGUAAUUAGAUAUCAUGAGCUGGGAGGAAACAAAUCCAGUUAACUAGAUAUCUUUUUUCAUUGAACGGGUCUGUAAUUAGAUAUCAUGUGCUGUGAAGAAGCAAAUCCAGUAAAACAAAUAAUUACUCAAUAUCUCAGAGCUGUGAAUUGACUGUCUGGGAAGUGAAUUUACUGGCUGUGAUAUUGAGUCAUUAUUUUCCUUUUUCCCAUGCUUUUGACCUUCUCAUAGUGGAGUAUGGUCACAGCUGGUUCCUUGAUGUACCAUUGACAUGUCUAGACUAUGAACUCAUUCUUUUACCAGCUCUGAGAUUUUACAUAGUGAUGACUCAUGAUUAAGAUUAUUAUUGUGAAAAAGAACUUGCUUCAUGUUAUUAUGUACAGUGGUACAACCUUCACAUAAGAAGCUCCACACUAGAGGCAAGGUCCAUCUCUUCCAACAAUCUUAGCCAGCCCGGUUUACUUGUUUUGAUAUGAUUUUUUUUAUGAAAUUACAGGGUCUGACGAAACACCAUCAAGAGAUAGCUGAAUGUUUCAACCGAAGGGGUGUGUCUUUAAUUUUCCUUUUAAGAAGAAAGAAAACUUUUGCAGCAAAAUACCAGGAAACUAAAUGGAACUCAUAAAGCUCAGGAGCAUCAUGGAGGCCAGGUUCACCUUUUUUUCUUUUCUUGGUCAUACUCACAGCCCAGGGUGUGAUAAAUUUCAUCAAGGAAAAUAAUGACUCAAUAUCACAGCCAGCCAAUUCACUUCAUGCUAGAUUUACAAUUUAGUUGAUACAAAAAGGCAAUACUGUUUAUUUACGACCUGAUACUAGCAGGUUAACCCAUUUUAUUCGGCUUAUGAGCAGUAUCAGUACACUAUGAAAUAAAUGAAACAUUAUGUGUUUUUCUAGCAGACCCGAAAUAACAAACUUAGUGAAGAUCCUAAAAGCAACAAUGGAAUGAUUUGUAAGGAAAUCUAACCAAACAAACAAACAUAACCAAACUUGUCUCAUUUUAUAGCAUUUAGAUAAUGUACAACAUUUUACAAUUGGUAUUGUACAACUAUUUAUUGGGUAGGGGGUAGGUUAGCGUGAAAACAACAUAUGUUGCUUUCGUUUAUAUUACAAUUUAUUUGAUUCACAGAACCGUGGUAGUGACAUGAUUUUGGCAGGAGAAAGGAGGAUUAUCAUUUCUAGAGGUUGAAUUUUUUCUUUUGGUGAAUUGCAAAUGCUAAAUUCUGUUACCAUGAAUUAGAAAUUAUAAUACUCUAGCUAUCCAGUGUUAGAGGAUUAUCCUUUAACAUUUCUACUGAAUAUCAAAUAUCAGUUAGGGCUUACCAUUCUACAUUUCUACUGAAUAUCAAAUAUCAAUUAGUACUUAUCGCAUAAAAUAAAUUAGUAUUUACCAUUCUACGUUUCUCCUGAAUAUUAGUAUCACAAGUUUAUACUAAUUUUCCAACCAGGGGAACUCCAGUUCCGAAAGUUUUAUACUCACCGGUGAGCUAUUCCCAGUAGAAAUUACUGGAUAGGAGCAAAAUUGUUUUUCAAGAUCAUGUUAGUAUUUUUUUUAUAAUAGAGCCAUAGGCUACACCAAACAAAUUGGAUUGUUUUGAUUUCGUUGUGUGGUUGUGCUUGCGAUCCAGGUGAGUUGAGCUGCGGCUUGGAUGGGGAUGUUGGUGCUGUUCAAGAGGCCUGCUGGGCUCGCCCUUUUCAAGGUUCUGAACCAGGGCAAGCUCGACAAGGUCGAGGAUCUAUGGAAGGAGUUCACGACUCGGGCUCGACGAGAAAGGUUUGUGCUUCAUCUUUUUUUUAUGGCAAAAUAACUUCUCUUUCUGAAACAAUCAGUACUUCAUAUAUCUAUCACAUUAUAAUAGACUAAGUCAACAAAAGCCCUUUUAUUUGAAUGAACAAGAAUCCGUUGUGUGCUGCUGAGCUAUGUGCCCCUUUUCCAAACAUGGCGCCCGGGUCUCCGAUCCGUGUCGCCGCAGGUAAGACCCGCGCCGCUGCAUCCAGUGUGUCCGUAUGAUUCCAAUGAAUUAGCUCUAUCCAAUUUUACACUGUAAUGCGCUUGAUGUUUGUGUUUGUUCCAGAUUUACAAAGAGAAGCCUCGGUCAAUACUCGAGUGCUAUAUGUUUUUUUUUCUUUGUUGGCCUCCAGCUAUUUGUAUUUUAAGAAUCAUUCUGAACCUGGGGUUCAGAGCAGUAAAAAAAGAUGAUUUUGUUUGCAAUUUUUGCUCUGUCUAUAAUGGAGAUGCCUUUUUUCACAAGUAGUUUAUACCAUGUCAUAUUUUAAUUUUUGUGGUUUUCUGUAUUCUUUAAGAUAUAUAUAUUUGCUUGAGUGCAUAACUUAGCAAUUGAGCUUUUACAAAUGUUCUCAUCUUUUAUGGAGUAAAGUUUACUGACAUAGCUCGUGCUCUGAAAAAAGUAGAAGUGUGAUUUUGUUUGACCAAGUACACGGACCCUGUAGGCCUUCUGUAAAUCUUCUAUGUGCGCUGAUUAACAUCUUCUGAAUAGGCCGAGUUGUCAUGGAUGAUAAUGAAGCUACAGUACCCCUAAUCUGAAUUUGCACAUUGAUCUUCGCUUCUUCAGUGCGUCCUAUAAAAAAGGUACCCAGCAAGAGGACAGCUAUGGUGAUCAAUGAUGUAUAGUUCUACAUAUGAUGAAGGUUUCUUUUGCAUGAUAAUUAUUUUUCAACAGAACUUUAAUGUUUUAAGUAUUUGAACUACACAUGUUGCUGAUCGUACACUGCAGUGAAAUUCAUUUGCAAGUUGGAGUGUACUGUUCUUUGCCACAGGCCUCCGCAACACAUAGUCGUCUUCCUCUUCCCUUCCAAUUCACCUCCUCUUGUGAGACUUCCAAUCUCUUGCUCUACCUUUCCUCCUGCUCCUUCUAUGUAUUUUUGUUUGUAUGGUUUUACUCCGUGGUGCUUGCAUAUCCAUUUGUCAGAAAGUAUAUAGCUAAUUGUCGUGUCCCGUUAUUGUGUGAUGAUAUUCCUGCCAAUGGUGUGAACUAGCAUAUGAUGAAAACUACAUCCCGAUGAAACAAAUUUACAAGAUAUAGUUUCAGAAUUUAGUUGGUUUGUGUCUAACAAUAUAACCGUCAUGUUAAAUAUGUUGCAAGUAUUCACAAGACAACCUUGUAGUGAGGUAAUUUCACCAUGCAUUUUGUAGAUGACUCAGUGAUGUCAUCUUACCAUCUUGGCUAUGGUCUGGAGAUCUUGGGUAUCUCGCUGAUGUCAUCUAUCCCGGGUUGGUGAAAUUACAACAAAUCUGGAGUUGUUGCUUUCAUGCUGAUGAGGGGUGCAGAACUAACUUAAGGAUGUGUCGUUGUCUCUGCAAAGGGAGUUUUUGCUUGGUGCGUCACUUCCUAUUCGGAGAUGCAACGUCGUGUUUGCCCGGGUAGGUUUUUACCUUUCAUAUGGUCAUUGCUGCCUCAUGCUUUUCUCAGAGAGGGUUUUAUCUGUACUGCCGUCUCUCCUCUUCAUAGUGCUGCUAUGCCUAUUGCCACUCGACGGCUUUUUUCUCUAUUUCUUUUUUGCUUUCUUUGCGCAUGGUCGUGUUCUUGCCCCGGCCAUCUUAGUUGCUUGGCUACUUUGGCCUGGUUGUAUGGAUGUUUGCUUUAUAAAUAAAGCGGGGUGAAAGCCUAUUUUGAGAAGGUUUUA